rnacentral:lncRNA from 1 species
UUCACACGAUGCCAAGUGAAGUGCAGUCUGUUUAUAUUUGUUAAGCUUGACUAGCAGGUUUUUGUCUGCAAACUUCCUUAAUAUAAAUCGUACUUCUUCUGUAUUACCGUUUUCGGAUUCUGUGUGAAGGAUAGUUUCUUCGUAUUUGUCCAGUUUAUCAGCAUGCAUCUCCAGUGCAGCUAUGGCAUCAGCAUCUCCCGCAAUGGCAGCUGCAUACAGAGCAUCUUUGUGCAUAAUUUUGUAGAGGCUUCCACCUGGGCUUUCAGCUAUAUACAUAAACAUGUGUCAAAUUGUGUGUAUUUUAGAAAUCAUCAUGACAUUGAAUGUGGUCAAAAAGAAAUUUAACUUAAAAGAAACUAAAUAUAGUUUAAUUAGGUUCCAGCAGUCACUUCUCCGCUUUUCAAUCUUCAUCAUCUUUACUCUCUACUCAUUAAUUAUUUUCGCUCUUCCAUCUCCUCUCUUAUUUAUCAGUUUUAUUAAUAAAAUCAAGAUCUAACCCAUUUUGGGUGAGUUCUUGUUGAGUACUUUGUCAUUAAACCUGUUAGUCGUGGCCAUCUUUUUGGGAUGUUUGUGUUUGUUUUGAUGCUUUUGUGUGUUUUGUUAUGAGUUUCUGUAACUUUUGUAAAAAGGACUUACAUGGUAUUUUGGGUGAUCCGUAAAACUUGCAUUAAAUAUAGUGAAUAUCGCAAGAGUUCACCUUUAACAACAAAAAAUUGUUGAUAUUUUGGGGUCAUUUGUUGAUCCAAUAUCAGUUGAUGUAAAUGAUAAUUUUGAACAUCGGGUUAUAGAUGAUACUUAUGUGAAUGUCAAUUACGAUACUAUAUAUGUUCACAACUGAUAUAGAUUGGACUGCUCGUGAUUUGAUUGUACUUUUCAGAUUAAAAAAAUUAAAUAUUUUUUGUGUUAAGUGAUCUGAGAAAACAAUGCAGCUAUAUGUUUAGCUCAUUUUUUGUUUCAUAAUCAGGUUGUAACUGAUAGUUCGCAGGUUUCUCUCGGCUGAUUUCAGUCAUUUAUGAAAUUCUUGGCUUUUUGUCAAAAAAAAAUAGUUUAAUUAACUAUAGGGUUCGCAUGUAAAGGAAAGAGGCAGAGUCUUUAUAAGGCAUACCUUGGUCGAAAUUCUUGUCACGCACAACGGUACUACAAUCAGGUCCGAGCAAAGAUGGAGCAAAGCAAGUUGUAGAGAUCACCUCUGCUAUACUGUUCAACCCUUGUUCCACAGCUAUGUACAUUGGUGUUUUGCCAUCAUCAUUUUGAAUAUGUGUAUCACUUGGAUCCGCCUCUACUAAUAGCUUAACAAUAGCUAGGUUCCCUUUCUUAACUGCGGCAUGUAAGGCAGUGUCCUCAUUUAGAUCAGAUUGCCUAAGAAACGCUUGAAAAGAAGUAGUUGGAUCUUCUUGAGUGUUAUCAUUAUCUGAAGGAUGCAAAUAUGAAGCUGCGUCGAUGAGGAUCUCAGCCAAUUCAGUGUGUCCAUAUAUUGCUGCCAAGUGAAGUGUAGUUUGUUUCUCUGAAGUCAGCUUAGCCAAAAGAUUUUUUUUUGCAAACUCCCUCAAAAUAACUCGCACACGUUUUGCGUUAGUAGUUUCUUCACCUCGGUUGAGUAUAUCAGCUUGCGUCUCCAAUUUAGCUAUGGCAUAAGCAUCUCCCGCAAUGGCAGCCACAAAGAAAGCAUAUCUAUCCAUAAUUUUAAAUAGAGUUCCACCAGGGCUCUUACCUGUAAUGUGUGUAUAUGUCAAGAAAAUUCUAGCAAAAUAUUAAAGAUAAAGGAUUUAGAAUAAAAGAAAAAAACAAGUACCAGAAGAGUCUUUAAAAAGCACCACAGUACUACCAUCAGGUCCGUCCAAAGACGGAGCUUUGCAAGUUGUAGAGAUAAUCUCUGCAAUAUGGUUGAGCCCGUUUUCCACAGCUAUGUACAUUGGUGUUUUACCAUCAUUGUUUUGAAUAUGUGUAUCAGUGGGAUCGGCUUCUACUAGUCGCUUAACAAUAGUGGCAUUUCCUCUCAACACUGCUGCAUGUAAGGCGGUGUCCAUAUCUUUAUCACCUUGCCUGACAAAAGCUUGAAAAGAAGUAAGUUUCGGAUUAUGAUCAUCAUCUGAAGGAGGUGGCAAAUCGCAAGCUGCAUCAAUGAGGACCUCAGCCACUUCAGUUUGGCCUUCAUAUAUAGCCAAGUGAAGUGCUGUAUGCUUAUAUCUACUAAGCUUCGCCAAAAGAUUUUUGUGUGCAAAUUUCCUCAAAAUGAAUUUCACACGUUCUGUAUUUCCCUUCUCUGAUUGCAGGUGAAGGAUAGUUUCUUCGAAUCGGUACAGUCUAUCAGCUUCUAUCUCCAAUUCAGCAGUGGCAGCAGCAUCUCCGGCCAUGGCAGCAUCGAACAGAGUAUCCAGAUCCAUAACUAUAUUUUAC